GUAUGGCAAGUUUUGCAGCCUUACCAAACUUAGUGGGGUUCUUAAUAUGUGAAGCUAUCUUCUGCAUGGCCUCCAAAACUUGGGUCUCUGAAGCAUCUGUCAUGGUUUUGAACCUUAAACGUUUUCCCGGUGCCGGUGCCGGUGCUGCAGCUGCUGGGUUCGAUUCUUGCGCAGUCUUGGGGCGCUUGAGGGCGCUCUUGAUGACCGGCGCCGGAGAAGAAGAAGAAGAAGAA
rnacentral:misc_RNA from 1 species